CGAAUGUCGUAACGACUCUCGGCAACGGAUAUCUCGGCUCUCGCAUCGAUGAAGAACGUAGCGAAAUGCGAUACUUGGUGUGAAUUGCAGAAUCCCGUGAACCAUCGAGUCUUUGAACGCAAGUUGCGCCCGAAGCCGUCAGGCUGAGGGCACGUCUGCAUGGGCGUCACGC
rnacentral:rRNA from 7 species